UCUCAUGCGGUCUGGGUUUUUCCUCCCUUCCUUUGGUCUCGCCGGAAAAUCCUUGUGUCGCGAUCGCGUCCGUUGCCUUGUCUCGAAAUCUGCAUAAAUACAUAUAUGUAUAUAGCUGAGACUAUAGCUACGCCACCGUUGUGCAAAUAUUAAUAUUUUGAGCUAAAACAUAUACUUUUGUGAGCUGCAUAAAUAAGCAAGUGCACAUAUGUACAUACAUAUGCAUAGUCGUAUCGCCAAAGUGUGUGAAUAAUCGGUGCGAACGUGGGAAUCGCGCUGGCGUUGCAAGUUCGCGGUGCAGUUGUUGCUGCUGCAACGUCAAUGUGGAGUGUCAAUUAUGUGGAAAUAUAUUUACAAAGAUGCCCCCUGUUUGUGUGUGUGAGUGAUUCUCCUGGCACUGAAUGUCACUGAAAGAGGGUGGGAGUGGAAGUGGAAGUGGGGCUGCCCUCUUUCCAGUGCGUGUAGAUCAGUUACCGCCAGCAACAACAACAACGACAACAACAAGAACAAGAACAGCAGCAAUAACAAACAAACAAACAAACAAGCCAGCGACAAUUCACAUUCAUUCCCAUUCAUUGCUGCGAUUAUCGCCAGUUUUGCUUUGCUCUUUCACCACGCACGAAUACGAUUACGAAUACGAAUACGAACGUAGGAGAAUGUGCGGGGGCUGCGGAGGCCGAAGCGAAUGAAGAGGAAGCGGCAACAGUCGAUAAGUUCGCUCUGGGCACGCCCCCUUAUGACGCCCCCUGUGACGCGAUAUCAGCGGACACCCAAGAAACACAACAAACACAAAGACCUGACCAAAAUCCACACAAAAUGGCGAUAAAUUCGAGUGCCAGAGAAUCGCCGCGGGCCUAAAAAGUUCGUUCCCCAAAUUAAAAAGGAGGUAAACAAACUCGUUUCUGCCCCACAACAACACAACCCGAUCCCGCACCACAGAGCCCACCACAACCAGCGAUAAGCAUCCGAAGACGAAGAUUUGGGUGGCCCAGUCCACAGAAAGCCCCGCACCAACCCCGAAACAAGCGCCUAAGAUGUGUUCCCGCAACAUAAAGAUCUCGGUGGUGCUGUUUCUCGUCCUGAUACCAAUCUUCGCCGCCUUGCCACACAACCACAAUCUGUCGAAGCGCAGCAACUUCUUCGACCUGGAGUGCAAGGGCAUCUUCAACAAGACCAUGUUCUUCCGACUGGACCGCAUCUGCGAGGACUGCUACCAGUUGUUCCGCGAGACGAGUAUACACCGAUUAUGCAAGAAAGACUGCUUUGAUUCAAAAUGGUUUGGCGAAUGCCUGAAAGUGCUGUUAAUACCCGAAGAGGAAAUAUCCAACCUACAGCACUUUCUGAGAGUAGUGAACGGCUCGCCCAUAUCCUUCAACAUGGGGCCGCAAACAUAACUCUAAGUCCCCGCCCCACACACCCACAGCCCCUACACACCAUACAGCACACAACACACACCACACACCACAUACAGCUGAGAAUCGCUGCGAUUAUCGUGGGUUGGAACGGGCAUCCGCAUCCAGAUACAGAUCCAGAUCCAGAAACAGUCCCACUACGACCACAAAUGCAGAGCCAGAACACAGAAAUCUAAAAUAUUAAAACGCCCAAAUUUAAUUCGUACUUAUUUAUUACUGUAUGCCUUACAGUUUUUACUAUAUGUGUUUUUUUAAAAACGAAUUAUUUUUAUUAAUUUAUUGAGAACGUUAUGCGUUUGUUGUAAGUAACAUAAUCGGGGAGUGGGAGAUGGGCGAUGAUGAUGAUCUGAUGAUCAGAUGAUCAGAUGAUGAUGAUGCGGAGGAGGAGGGUCGCAGAUCUCGCACUCCCCACAUAUACAUAGAAGCCGAAGUAUUUAUUUUUAAGUAUUCUUAGCUUGUUUUAUUAUUAUUGCGUUAUGCGGUUUGUAUAUAAAAUAAACAAAACGAAAUCCAUUGUUUUUAAUCUAUGUAAUGUAAAAUUAUAACUUUUAUUUUUGUAUCUGUAUUCUACUGUAAAAUCAGCAUUUAGAGUUUACAUUUUACACGAUUUUCCGCAAGGGCAAAGCUACAAUGAUAAAGAUAAACCCAUACAGACGCACAUACACACACUACACACACGCAUAUAUAUAUACACCGCAAUCGAGACCGAAAGUAUUUUGCAAAUGUAUUACACUUACAAUUUUGUGCUAUUUUGUAAAGAUGAAACCCUGAAUUAGUGUAAAUCUGUUGGCGCAAAACGGAGAUAUGUAUUUGCCUAUAUAGUAUAUAGUAUAUGCAUACCUAUCUAAAGCUAAAGCCUUACAUGUAUCCGAAUACGAGUACCCUACACACAUGCUAAAUAUUAGAGAGAAACGCAAGAUCGCAAUUUGUGCAAGACACAAACAAAAACCUGGUAAAAACACGCGAAGAACGGAACGACUGCAUUACAAAUGUGGCAAUAAAUAAUACAUAAUUAAUAAACCCCUGUAAAUUAAUAAAGGAUAAUCAAUCAUUCGCUGGCUAUUUGAGAGCAUCAAAAUUGUGAUAAAUGAGAAUUAGAAUGCGAAUGCGCGACGCAGGACACCGCCAGAGAAAGAGACCGCCAUAGAGGAGGCGAAAGAGACAGACAGACUGCAGCUGGCGAUUUGCGCGCGUUUCUGGCGCGACUAAAAACGCCCGCUUACCGUUUUUGUUUUGGCAAGAAUGCUUCGGAUCGCCCUUCUUCAACGCCUGCAUAGAGGCUCUUCAGCUGCACGAGGAGAUGGACAAGUAUAACGAAUGGCGC